CACGUAGGGCGCAAGCGUUGUCCGGAAUUAUUGGGCGUAAAGGGCGCGUAGGCGGCCUUUCAAGUGACGGGUGAAAUCCCCCGGCUUAACCGGGGAACUGCCUGUCAGACUGGGAGGCUUGAGUCCGGGAGAGGUGAGUGGAAUUCCCAGUGUAGCGGUGAAAUGCGUAGAUAUUGGGAGGAACACCAGUGGCGAAGGCGGCUCACUGGACCGGUACUGACGCUGAUGCGCGAAAGCGUGGGGAGCAAACAGG
rnacentral:rRNA from 1 species